UGUGACAAGAAUGUUAUUUCAAUCAGUUA
rnacentral:piRNA from 1 species